rnacentral:rRNA from 1 species
GACGAACGCUGGCGGCGUGCCUAAUACAUGCAAGUUGAGCGCUGAAGGUUGGUACUUGUACCAACUGGAUGAGCAGCGAACGGGUGAGUAACGCGUGGGGAAUCUGCCUUUGAGCGGGGGACAACAUUUGGAAACGAAUGCUAAUACCGCAUAAAAACUUUAAACACAAGUUUUAAGUUUGAAAGAUGCAAUUGCAUCACUCAAAGAUGAUCCCGCGUUGUAUUAGCUAGUUGGUGAGGUAAAGGCUCACCAAGGCGAUGAUACAUAGCCGACCUGAGAGGGUGAUCGGCCACAUUGGGACUGAGAAACGGCCCAAACUCCUACGGGAGGCAGCAGUAGGGAAUCUUCGGCAAUGGACGAAAGUCUGACCGAGCAACGCCGCGUGAGGGAAGAAGGUUUUCGGAUCGUAAAACUCUGUUGGUAGAGAAGAACGUUGGUGAGAGUGGAAAGCUCAUCAAGUGACGGUAACUACCCAGAAAGGGACGGCUAACUACGUG